rnacentral:rRNA from 1 species
AUUGAACGCUGGCGGCAGGCCUAACACAUGCAAGUCGGGCGGAUGAAGGGAGCUUGCUCCUGGAUUCAGCGGCGGACGGGUGAGUAAUGCCUAGGAAUCUGCCUGGUAGUGGGGGAUAACGUCCGGAAACGGGCGCUAAUACCGCAUACGUCCUGAGGGAGAAAGUGGGGGAUCUUCGGACCUCACGCUAUCAGAUGAGCCUAGGUCGGAUUAGCUAGUUGGUGGGGUAAAGGCCUACCAAGGCGACGAUCCGUAACUGGUCUGAGAGGAUGACCAGUCACACUGGAACUGAGACACGGUCCAGACUCCUACGGGAGGCAGCAGUGGGGAAUAUUGGACAAUGGGCGAAAGCCUGAUCCAGCCAUGCCGCGUGUGUGAAGAAGGUCUUCGGAUUGUAAAGCACUUUAAGUUGGGAGGAAGGGCAGUAAGUUAAUACCUUGCUGUUUUGACGUUACCAACAGAAUAAGCACCGGCUAACUUCGUG